rnacentral:rRNA from 1 species
AAUAGUCUAACGACUGAACCAGCAACUUGGAGGAAUGAAUAGCGAUAGCUAGUUGUAUUAAAUUUUACUACAACAUCGACUACGUCGAAUAAAAUUCUGGGUAGAAUUAUGAUAAUGACAUUGUUUACUCAUGUGUCUUGACCAAAUUACGUGCCAGCAGUCGCGGUAAUACGUAAAAGACUAGUGUUAUUCAUCUUUAAUAGGUUUAAAGGGUACCUAGACGGUAAACCAAGCCCUAGACGGGACUAGUUUGCUAGAGUUACUUACAAGGAAGCUAUGAAGUACUAAUGGUGUAGAGAUGAAAUUUUGUAAUACCAUUUUUCGAAAGAAAAGUCAUGGCACUGAUAAAGGCGAAAGCAUCUUCUUAUGUGAUAACUGACGUUGAAGGACGAAGGCUUUGGAUCGCGAAUAGGAUUAGAUACCCUAGUAGUCAAAGCAGACAAUGAUGAGUGUCAUAGAUUAGAUAUAUAAGUUUAUUCUAUAAAUGAAAGUGUAAGCACUCCACCUCAAGAGUAAUUUGGCAACAUUGGAACUGAAAUCAUUAGACCGUUUCUGAAACCAGUAGUGAAGUAUGUUGUUUAAUUUGAUAAUCCGCAAAACACCUUACCACAAUUUGAAUAUGGAUAUCUUUGAUAUCUUUACAAGCGUUGCACGGCUGUCUACAGUUAAUGUCGUGAGACUUUGGUUAGAUCCAUUAAAUUAACGCAAGCCCUUACUUUAUUUUCAAAUAAAGUUGUUCCCCGCUAUAUUGGAUAUGAUAACAGGGACUAAGACAAGUCAUCAUGACCUGAAUACUGUGGGCUAUAGACGUGCCACAUAGACCUCUACAAAAGGAUGUGAAAUUGUGAAAUUAAACUAAUCCCCCAAAAAAGGAUAUAACCUUAAU